AGCCUAACUCUAGCCCGACAAACAUUUUUCCCAACCAUACAAAAACCCCCUCCAUCCACCAACUAAAACAUUCCACACACCUAGUAUAGGCGAUAGAAAAGGACCCCCGGCGCUAUAGAAACAUCGUACCGCAAGGGAAAGAUGAAAUACUAAUGAAACACCCAAGCACUAAGCAGCAAAGAUCAACCCUUGUACCUCUCGCAUCAUGGUCCAGCAAGAAACAACCAAGCAAAGCGACCUUAAGCUUGCCACCCCGAAACCCGAGCGAGCUACCUAUAAGCAGCUAACACCUGAGCUAACCCGUCUCUGUAGCAAAAGAGUGGGAUGACUUAUAAGUAGAGGUGAAAAGCCAAACGAGCCUGGUGAUAGCUGGUUGCCUGUGAAAUGAACCUCAGUUCAUCCCUGAUCGCUCCCUACACGAACCCGCAACCAACCCCCAUGAAGACGAACAGGAGCUAUUUAAAGGAGGUACAGCUCCUUUAAAACAGAAUACAACCUCCCACAGCGGAUAAUUCUUCCCCAAACACAACUGUUGGCCUUCAAGCAGCCACCAACAAAGAGUGCGUCAAAGCUCACAUCAAAAAAUACCACAACUGCACGAAUCCCUCCCCACUAACAGGCCAACCUAUAACUAUAGGAGGAUUAAUGCUGAAAUAAGUAACUAGGGGCCCCCUCACCCCCUCUCAAGCGCGAACUUACAUCUCACAUUAUUACCCACAACAUGAUAUCUACACCCCCACAAGCACACCCUAUCCCCAAACCACUGUUACACCAACCCAGGAGCGCAACAAUAGAAAGAUUUAAAUCUGUAGAAGGAAUUAGGCAAACUCAAGGCCCGACUGUUUACCAAAAACAUAGCCUUCAGCACACCAAGUAUUGAAGGUGAUGCCUGCCCAGUGACACCCCACGUUUAACGGCCGCGGUAUCCUAACCGUGCAAAGGUAGCGCAAUCAAUUGUCCCAUAAAUCGAGACUUGUAUGAAUGGCUAAACGAGGUCUUAACUGUCUCCUACAGACAAUCAGUGAAAUUGAUCUCCCUGUGCAAAAGCAGGAAUAAAAACAUAAGACGAGAAGACCCUGUGGAACUUAAAAAUCGCAGUCACCGCCCAUCUCACCCAAGCCUACUAGGCCUCCAAACUUCGCACCCAUUGACCCGCAUUUUUCGGCUGGGGCGGCCCUGGAGCACAACAAAACCUCCAGACAUAAGACCCAAUUCUUAACCUAGAGCAACCCCUCAACGUGCUAACAGCCACCAGACCCAGUACAACUGACUAAUGAACCAAGCUACCCCAGGGAUAACAGCGCAAUCCCCUCCAAGAGCCCAUAUCGACAAGGGGGUUUACGACCUCGAUGUUGGAUCAGGACAUCCUAAUGGUGCAGCCGCUAUUAAGGGUUCGUUUGUUCAACGAUUAAUAGUCCUACGUGAUCUGAGUUCAGACCGGAGCAAUCCAGGUCGGUUUCUAUCUAUGACAGAUUUCUCCCAGUACGAAAGGACCGGAAAAAUAAGGCCCCUACUCCCAUGCACGCCUUCUCCCCAAGCAAGGAAUUCAUCUGAACUGCCUAAAGGACUAAACACCCCAAUCCUAAAAAAGGAGAG
rnacentral:rRNA from 1 species